ensembl:ncRNA Y54E10A.27 ncRNA
AGUGUGUCUUUUGGAAACAGUCUCUCUCUUCACGAUCAUUGUGUGUCUGCCCUCUCGAGUACGGACCUCGAGGGCCGAUUGCGCAGCGCGCAAAUUCCCGAAUAGAUCAUAUGAUUCGAAGAGUCGGCCGACGAUUUUC